ACUAAUCAUGAUUGUAAUCGGUCAGUGAAAUUUUGGUGGCAACGAAGCUUGAUUAGAAAGUGAAGUUAGGGCAGCCUAUCAUUGUUCACAUCCGAGCUUCUUGGUGUUAUGCUUUCAAGUACCUGGAUCAAGUCUUUUUGUUUUUUGCCAUUGAUCUUUCCCAUUCCCAUUCUCUCAAUGAUUCUCAUCAUAAUCUCCAUUUAUUAUUUGUUACCUCUCUUGAGAAUUUAUCAUAUCAAAUACACUGACAGAAUAUCCCGAAUUUGGACACAGAAAACUGAUUUCGUCUGAAUUGAUUGCACAUUGUUGGAACACUUCAGUUUGAGGUACAAAAUGUUUUCCUUCUGUAUUUCAUAGCAAUGCUGGACCUAUUCAAUCACAUUUUAUGUAAUUGUCUCUGAUUUUCGCAGAAACAAUUAAAUAUUUUAUAAUCAUCCGCAGACUUUUACAAAUGGAACAGGGUUGUUGUAAGAUACUUUGAUGGCUCCUGCUUUACUGUCGACAAGCAAGAAUCCAAUUUAUAAUUUAAAUUUCUGAGAAGAUAUCGUCUGAUUAUAAUUAAUUCUUAUAAAUUAUAAUUCUUUAGGCCCUUGAUAUCUAAGGCGCAUCUAAGGCACUUAUCUGUUGUGUUUAUGAUGAAUUGAGCUGUCUUAUUGAUUUGUAAAUAGGUAGUAAUUGAAUAUGAAU
rnacentral:lncRNA from 1 species